CGGCCGCGGCCGGGAGGGCGGGUAAGGCGGCCCCGGCGGGGCUCGAGGGGCGGCGGGAGGGACGCGGGGACGCGCGGACGGCGGCCAGCAGCCUGCUCCGCCCCGCCCCGGACCGCCCUGCCUCAGUGGUCGACUUCCUUCCGGGACAGCGUACGCCACUUCCCCGGGCUGGCUACCCACUCGGUUACCCCUGGGUCCCCCGCCCCGCUCAGUCCACGCGGCUCCGUGGGGUCCGGCUUGGGUUUCUGGCCCUAGACUUGCGGUUACGUGGCUCCGCCCCGCUCCGGUCUGUGGCCGCCUCCUCCCGGGCCCCAGCCCCCGAGGUGUCCGGACGAUCGUUUAUUCCCUCGAAGUACUUUACGAUAAGAGCGGAGGAUACAGCGGCGGACCCGGGCGUCCUCCCCCUGGCCUCAGCGUCUGAUGGCGAGGGAGCACAGAAUGAGAUGAACAGAUCGGUAGAAUUCUAGCUACAGAGGAACAAGUUAGAGGCCGGCAUGGUUUGCAACUGGAUCCUGACCCAGACCAGGAAGGCAACCUGCAUCAUGUGGUUACCAACUGCUCUUCAUUUACCUAUUGAUGCCUCCCAAAAAGAGACGCAGACAGUCCCAGAAAGCCCAGCUGCUGUUUCACCAACAGCCACUGGAGGGCCCCAAACACCACUAUGAAUCUUGCCAGCAGCCCAUUACCCACACUGUUCAGGUGCCCAGCAAGCCCAUUGAUCAGAGCACCGUCACUUCCUGGGUGUCACCCCAGUUUGAUAGAGCAGCGGAAAGCCGGUUUCUGAUACACCGGAAGCCUCACCGAGACCAGGCAAGGCGCCCAACUCGGAGAUCUACCUGCAAGUUUCCACGUCUAACCUUUGAGAGUCCACAGUCUUCCAGUUCAGAGACGUUGUUGCUAUCCAACCGAGUGCAGCCCCAGAACUCAGAAAAGGACCCACCCAGAAGGCCUUUAGUGCCAUUGUUCAGUCCCCAGAGCUGUGGAGAACUGUCAGUGCAUGUACCUCACAGUUUACCUCAUGUGUUCGCACCCCCUGACAUCCAGACCCCAGACUCUUCUGUAAGAGACGAUCCCAUUUCCCCAGACCAGAAGGAAAACAGUUUUCCAAGCUGCAUCCUUGGCCCUGGGACUCCCAGCAGCCCAGAGCCGGGGCCUGUUCUGGUCAAGGACACCCCUGAGGAGAAGUAUGGGAUUAAGGUCACGUGGAGACGCAGAAGGCACCUGUUUGCCUACCUUAAGGAGAAGGGGAAGCUGGAUGGAAGCCAGUUCCUUGUGAAGAUCUGACAGGACCGCAGAGCUUCAGUUCUUCCCGGAGCUGCUGUGGGGAGGUUUCGCAAGUCAUCCUGGUUUGAAAGGAUGAAAGGGGACGAACAGCAAUAGGAAGACCACUUAGCCAGAGUCGGAGUUCGGUUUCUAGGGUUCCGCCUCGCACCAGGAACCGUUGAAUUUAGUGUCAUGAACUGUUGGUAUUUUUCUCACAUUAACUGUUUAGACCUCUGACGUUUCUUGUACUGUUCACAGCGUUUGUAAAUAAAUGGCUGCCGAGUUUUUAGAGAACCCAGCCGUUGUCAGUAAUGCAGCCUCGUGCCCAUCUAUAAAAGGUCUAUGCUUAUUAGUCUUCUGCCUCGAACUAAUUCAUCUCACGCUGUUGGUAUGUGGUGGAGAAAUGGAUUCCUAUCAGUAACUUAUCCUAUGUGUACAUAAAGUGGAAGCUCACACUCUAGUGUGGGUAGUGUGGAUGUGCCUGUCUCAGUGGUCCUCUUACUCAUUCAAAUAGCAUCUCUUUCAACCCUA
rnacentral:lncRNA from 1 species